rnacentral:tRNA from 1 species
CGAGCUGUCGUCUAACAGGUUAGGACGCCACCCUCUCAAGGUGGAGAUUUGCGGGUUCGAGUCCCGCCAGCCCGA